rnacentral:rRNA from 1 species
GAUGAACGCUGGCGGCGUGCUCAACACAUGCAAGUCGAACGAAGCACUUUAUUUGAUUUCCUUCGGGACUGAUUAUUUUGUGACUGAGUGGCGGACGGGUGAGUAACGCGUGGGUAACCUGCCUUGUACAGGGGGAUAACAGUUGGAAACGGCUGCUAAUACCGCAUAAGCGCACGGCAUCGCAUGAUGCAGUGUGAAAAACUCCGGUGGUAUAAGAUGGACCCGCGUUGGAUUAGCUAGUUGGUGAGGUAACGGCCCACCAAGGCGACGAUCCAUAGCCGACCUGAGAGGGUGACCGGCCACAUUGGGACUGAGACACGGCCCAAACUCCUACGGGAGGCAGCAGUGGGGAAUAUUGCACAAUGGGCGAAAGCCUGAUGCAGCGACGCCGCGUGAGCGAAGAAGUAUUUCGGUAUGUAAAGCUCUAUCAGCAGGGAAGAUAAUGACGGUACCUGACUAAGAAGCACCGGCUAAAUACGUG